rnacentral:lncRNA from 1 species
UAUAUAUAUAUGCUGAAAAGAACAUUCUUCUACUCUUUCUUGAUGUAUGCUAUCGUAUAUUGCUUCUCUACUUGCUCAAAAUCAAAUUUGCAUCUAUGAAAAGUUAAGCAAUUAAGGCCAGUGAGAUGGCAGUAGAUUGGCAUGUUUACAGAAAAAACAAAUAGCCAUGCAAGUUUGAAAGAACAUCUUUUUACUAUUUCUUGCUAUAUGAAUAUUUCCCGUCUUCUUCCUUCGGAAUCAAAUGUGCGUCUACUAAAGGAUAAGAAAUUAAGGCUGCAAUCUAAGAAUAGAAUCAAAUGUGCAUCUACUAAAGGAUAAGAAAUUAAGGCUGCAAUCUAAGAAUACUUUUAUUUGCCAUUCUGAAUUUCUAUCACAGCACAGAGGAAUGAGGAAUGGAUAGAGGAGGCAUGGCGUAAGCGUAGGGGUCAGCCAGGGCAUGACGCAGGAGUCUGCCCAUCUCCUCUCAAAGUUAGUUCUUGCUCUUCUUGUCCCUACUACCUCGCCUGCCAACUCUCUGAUAGAGUAUUUUAUUUCUGCAAUGUAUUUUAUUCUUUGAAGAAAUUACAAUUUUUCAUAACUUCUUGGCAUACUAUGGAUCGAAUUCUUUAUGAGAACAAGCAAAUGAUGGUAGCAGUUCCAACAAGAAGAUACCAGACAUGUAAUAUCUUGAUAGAAGAGAAGAUCUACAUUUUAUUCAUGUGAAAAUUUAGGGUGGAUUUGUGUUUUUCAGAAAUGAGGCAACCUUACAUGUUAACAGUAAGUUGACUACCAGUUUAAAAGCUUACGUUUCCAAAGUGUUUCCUGGGAUACCCCCCCCCCCCACUCCCUCUCUCUUGAUUGAUAUAUCCAUAUAUCACAGGGGAAUGAUAGUUAAUUUUAACAGGGAUUGGUGGUUCAUCACAAUUUUUCUAGCUUCUUUUGUCCUCCAAAUGAUAUAGAAGGCAGUCAAGUUGCAUCCUCUAAUUUCUUGUGAUUUUUGUAGGACCUACUAUGAUGCAUAUUUGAAAGAGUGCAUCUAUUGUUUCAGCUGAAAAUUGAUCUCUAUUUGAAGGAGUGCAUCUAUUGUGCAUCUACACAAGAAGACAGUGUGCUGUUUUUUAUUCCAUGCUCCAAAUAUUUCAUGUCUGAUUCAUAGACAUCCUUGAAUUGGAUAAUGAUGAUGGCAUGUUUGGUGUUCAUAUUUUUGUCAGCCAAAUAAUAAUAGGUGCACUUGAUUGGUUGACGAAAUGCCAACUGAAAACUAAAUUCAGUUAGAAUUAGAUUUUUGCACGUGUGUUCUUGAUGCUUCAUGUACGACCAGUUCUCUCGAAUAAUGAGUUAGUCCCUCAAUUUUACAAUAGAGAUAAUUUGUCAAAAUUGUGUUUUUGUGAACAUGCAUGGGGCCUCUCAGUCUUUAACCCUGACGAUAAAAAUCCAUUGAUGGAAGCUGGGGAGGGCCGAGAUGAACAUCCAGCUCCCUGGGUCUAAGCCAUCGAGAUGGUAGAGAUGACGUUUCCAUGUCAUCUACUCUAGCAGCUGGACAAGGCAUAUAAAAACCAUGGAUUCUUGCUCUCCAGGCUGCAAAAUGAUCACAGUGACGUCUACGACCUCCUCCUAGAUGUAUUAAUCUCAAUCUCAUGUUUGGUUUUCUUCCCUUUUCUCUUCUAAUGAUGUAAUUUCUGUUACUAAGAUAACACCAUGUUUGUUGUAAUGCCUUAUUUGAUGUAAGAUCCCUUUUCUACUUUGAAUGAAUUUACUGCAUAUAUUUCUUAUUUAUUUUAGUUUAUCAUUCAGAGAUGAUGGAAUAUUUUUGUCCUUCAUAGGUUAAAUGAGCAUUGCGUAGUCCUUCACAUGUUAAAUGAGCAUUG